AGAGUUUGAUCAUGGCUCAGAACGAACGCUGGCGGCGCGCCUAAUACAUGCAAGUCGAGCGAGAAGGUGUAGCAAUACACUUGUAAAGCGGCGAACGGGUGAGGAAUGCAUGGGUAACCUACCCUCGAGUGGGGAAUAACUAGCCGAAAGGUUAGCUAAUACCGCAUACGUUUCCGGGACUUCGGUUCCGGAAAGAAAGCAAUACCGUGGGUAUUGCGCUCAUGGAUGGGCUCAUGUCCUAUCAGCUUGUUGGUGAGGUAACGGCUCACCAAGGCUUCGACGGGUAGCUGGUCUGAGAGGACGAUCAGCCACACUGGCACUGCGACACGGGCCAGACUCCUACGGGAGGCAGCAGUAAGGAAUAUUGCGCAAUGGACGAAAGUCUGACGCAGCGACGCCGCGUGGGGGAUGAAGGUCUUCGGAUUGUAAACCCCUUUCGGGAGGGAAGAUGGAGUGGGUAACCACUUGGACGGUACCUCCAGAAGCAGCCACGGCUAACUUCGUGCCAGCAGCCGCGGUAAUACGAAGGUGGCAAGCGUUGUUCGGAUUCACUGGGCGUACAGGGAGCGUAGGCGGUUGGGUAAGCCCUCCGUGAAAUCUCCGGGCCUAACCCGGAAAGUGCAGAGGGGACUGCUCAGCUAGAGGAUGGGAGAGGAGCGCGGAAUUCCCGGUGUAGCGGUGAAAUGCGUAGAGAUCGGGAGGAACACCGAUGGCGAAGGCAGAUCUCUGGGCCGUAACUGACGCUGAGGAGCGAAAGCGUGGGGAGCGAACAGGAUUAGAUACCCUGGUAGUCC
rnacentral:rRNA from 1 species